GUGGGGAAUAUUGGACAAUGGGCGAAAGCCUGAUCCAGCCAUGCCGCGUGAGUGAUGAAGGCCUUAGGGUUGUAAAGCUCUUUCAGUAGGGAAGAUAAUGACGGUACCUACAGAAGAAGCCCCGGCUAACUUCGUGCCAGCAGCCGCGGUAAUACGAAGGGGGCUAGCGUUGUUCGGAUUUACUGGGCGUAAAGCGCACGUAGGCGGAUUGGUCAGUUAGAGGUGAAAUCCUGGAGCUCAACUCCAGAACUGCCUUUAAUACUGCCAGUCUAGAGUCCAGAAGAGGUGAGUGGAACUCCUAGUGUAGAGGUGGAAUUCGUAGAUAUUAGGAAGAACACCAGUGGCGAAGGCGACACACUGGCUCAUUACUGACGCUGAGGCGCGAAAGCGUGGGGAGCAAACAGGAUUAGAUACCCUAGUAGUCC
rnacentral:rRNA from 1 species